AUUGAACGCUGGCGGCAGGCCUAACACAUGCAAGUCGAACGGUAGCACAGAGAGCUUGCUCUCGGGUGACGAGCGGCGGACGGGUGAGUAACGUCUGGGAAACUGCCCGAUGGAGGGGGAUAACUACUGGAAACGGUAGCUAAUACCGCAUAACGUCGCAAGACCAAAGUGGGGGACCUUCGGGCCUCACACCAUCGGAUGUGCCCAGAUGGGAUUAGCUAGUAGGUGGGGUAAUGGCUCACCUAGGCGACGAUCCCUAGCUGGUCUGAGAGGAUGACCAGCCACACUGGAACUGAGACACGGCCCAGACUCCUACGGGAGGCAGCAGUGGGGAAUAUUGCACAAUGGGCGCAAGCCUGAUGCAGCCAUGCCGCGUGUAUGAAGAAGGCCUUCGGGUUGUAAAGUACUUUCAGCGGGGAGGAAGGCGGUGAAGUUAAUAACUUCACCGAUUGACGUUACCCGCAGAAGAAGCACCGGCUAACUCCGUGCCAGCCGCCGCUGUAA
rnacentral:rRNA from 1 species